rnacentral:rRNA from 1 species
UACGGAGGAUGCGAGCGUUAUCCGGAUUUACUGGGUGUAAAGGGAGCGUAGACGGCAGGGCAAGUCUGGAGUGAAAGCCCGGGGCCCAACCCCGGGACUGCUCUGGGAACUGUGAAGCUGGAGUGCAGGAGAGGUAAGCGGAAUUCCUGGUGUAGCGGUGAAAUGCGUAGAUAUCAGGAGGAACACCGGCGGCGAAGGCGGCUUACUGGACUGUAACUGACGUUGAGGCUCGAAGGCGUGGGGAGCAAACAGG